GUGGAAUGUGUACCCAUGGGGGGCCCAGUGGCUGCUCCGAUCGUGGAGAUGGUUCUCAGAGGGGUGGGGGCGAAAGUCUUGAAUGGUUUACAACUGAAUAUCAAAUUCCAAUUUAGGUAUGAAGAUGACAUCUUUAUCAUAUGAAAAGAAAACUAGGAGCCAGCUAUCUUAGAAGAACGUAUUACAACAAAAGCUUAUGACUUAAUAUUAAAAUGGCAACAAACCAGCAAAACAGAUGCCCACUUUUUAGAUAUAAGCUAGAAGUGAAAAAUAAAAAACUAAAUACCACAGUCUAUAGAAAACCUAGAUACGAACCAGUCAUCAUAUCGAAAUGGUCACCGGACCCGAUUUCAUAUAAAACCUCCGCCUUCCGCUUCUAUUUUAAGAGGGCCAAGUUAUAUAUUGAUAGGCAAGAGGAUAUGACGAAAGAACUAGAGUACAUCUACAAUACUGGCCAA
rnacentral:lncRNA from 1 species